UGGGGAAUCUUGCACAAUGGGGGAAACCCUGAUGCAGCGACGCCGCGUGAGCGAUGAAGGUUUUCGAAUCGUAAAGCUCUGUCCUAUGGGAAGAUAAUGACGGUACCAUAGGAGGAAGCCCCGGCUAACUACGUGCCAGCAGCCGCGGUAAUACGUAGGGGGCGAGCGUUGUCCGGAAUUACUGGGCAUAAAGGGUUCGCAGGCGGCAUGACAAGUCCGAUGUAAAAGGCGAAAGCUCAACUUUCGUAAGCAUCGGAAACUGUCAAGCUUGAGUGAAGGAGAGGCAAGUGGAAUUCCUAGUGUAGCGGUGGAAUGCGUAGAUAUUAGGAGGAAUACCGGUGGCGAAGGCGACUUGCUGGACUUCAACUGACGCUGAGGAACGAAAGCGUGGGUAGCAAACAGG
rnacentral:rRNA from 1 species